rnacentral:rRNA from 1 species
GACGGGGGGGGCAAGUGUUCUUCGGAAUGACUGGGCGUAAAGGGCACGUAGGCGGUGAAUCGGGUUGAAAGUGAAAGUCGCCAAAAAGUGGCGGAAUGCUCUCGAAACCAAUUCACUUGAGUGAGACAGAGGAGAGUGGAAUUUCGUGUGUAGGGGUGAAAUCCGUAAAUAUACGAAGGAACGCCAAAAGCGAAGGCAGCUCUCUGGGUCCCUACCGACGCUGAGGUGCGAAAGCGUGGGGAGCAAACAGG